rnacentral:rRNA from 1 species
GACGUAGGGGGCGAGCGUUGUCCGGAUUUAUUGGGCGUAAAGCGUGCGUAGGCGGCUGCGCAAGUCGGUUGUGAAACCCCGGGGCUCAACCCCGGAACUGCAUCCGAUACUGCGUGGCUAGAGGUAGGUAGGGGAGAUCGGAAUUCCUGGUGUAGCGGUGGAAAUGACGCAGAUAUCAGGAGGAACACCGGUGGCGAAGGCGGAUCUCUGGGCCUUACCUGACGCUCAGGCACGAAAGCUAGGGGAGCGAACAGG